rnacentral:lncRNA from 1 species
GACGACUUUUCAUAGAAUAGAAAUCAUCUAUUAUGGAAUCUGAAUCAAUCAUUUUAGAAAAAUCUCUUUCGAUGUAGAUAACCAUAGAAUCUGCAAGGAACUCAUCCUCCAUCUUAUUACGAAGGAUAGUCUUAACAUGCUUCAUGGCUGAAAAUGCUCGUUCCGUAGUUGCCGUGGUAACAGGAAGAGUUAAAACGAGACAAAUCAGCCGAUCGAUUAGAUCAUAAUGUUGUGACUUAUUUGUUUCAACUAAUACCUGGCAUAAUUCAAAAAUUGUCGACAUAUUUUGAAAUUUUUCAUGCUGGGGCACAUCAAUUAACAAUGACAAUAGACAAAUAAUUAUUGAACUUUGCAUGUAAGCACACCCGCCAGUGCUAUGCUUAAAACUAAACAAGUAAACUCAAAUUUUUAUCUAUGCACACCCGC